GCAAACAGAAGAAGGUGAUGGCGAUUCUAGCAGCGAUAACGACCAUUUAGAUACCCAAGAUAAUAGCGAAAGUAAUGGAAUAGAUCUACAAUCGAUGCCUUCGUUGCUGGAAUACUCAACUAGAGAUACUGGUCUCUUCUUUCCAUUGUGAGUAUAUGUAUGAGAAGAUCCAUGUAUGCAGUAGCUUUUGUAGUGUUUAAUUCCAGUCGCCGUUGUACGUUGCACAUUCGACGGUCGUCUCACACUAGGCGAUAGUCUUCUUGUAACACCGACGACCGUGACGAGUACCGGAGACCUGGACCUGCGUAUGAUUUAAUCGGAUUGGCCUAUUGUUGAAUAGAUUCUGUGAUAAUAGUAGAAUAGAUGAUACUAUCGUAU